AGUGAACGCUGGCGGUAGGCCUAACACAUGCAAGUCGAACGGCAGCACAGGAGAGCUUGCUCUCUGGGUGGCGAGUGGCGGACGGGUGUGGAAUACAUCGGAAUCUACUCUGUCGUGGGGGAUAACGUAGGGAAACUUACGCUAAUACCGCAUACGACCUACGGGUGAAAGCAGGGGACCUUCGGGCCUUGCGCGAUUGAAUGAGCCGAUGUCGGAUUAGCUAGUUGGCGGGGUAAAGGCCCACCAAGGCGACGAUCCGUAGCUGGUCUGAGAGGAUGAUCAGCCACACUGGAACUGAGACACGGUCCAGACGCCUACGGGAGGCAGCAGUGGGGAAUAUUGGACAAUGGGCGAAAGCCUGAUCCAGCAAUACCGCGUGGGUGAAGAAGGCCUUCGGGUUGUAAAGCCCUUUUGUUGGGAAAGAAAUCCAGCUGGCUAAUACCCGGUUGGGAUGACGGUACCCAAAGAAUAAGCACCGGCUAACUUCGUGCCAGCAGCCGCCGUAA
rnacentral:rRNA from 1 species